rnacentral:rRNA from 1 species
GAUAAACGCUGGCGGCGUGCCUAACACAUGCAAGUCGAACGCCCUUUUGCGCAAGUGAGAGGGAGUGGCGGACGGGUGAGUAACACGUGGGUACCUACCUUGAGGUGAGGAAUACCACCGAGAAAUCGGUGACAAGACCGCAUACGCUUGGCAACAAGCAAAGUCUCGCAAGAGACGCCACAAGAUGGGCCUGCGCCUGAUUAGCUAGUUGGUGAGGUAACAGCNCACCAAGGCGACGAUCAGUAGCUGGUCUGAGAGGAUGAUCAGCCACACUGGGAUUGAGAACGGCCCAGACUCCGUACGGGGGCAGCAGUGAGUAAUUUUCGUCAAGUGGGGGCAACCCUGAACGAGCAACGCCGCGUGCAGGACGACUACUUUUCGGA